rnacentral:rRNA from 1 species
GACGAACGCUGGCGGCGUGCCUAAUACAUGCAAGUCGAACGAAGCUGUUUUAACUGGUGCUUGCACCGACUUAAACAACUGAGUGGCGAACGGGUGAGUAACACGUGGGUAACCUGCCCCAAAGCGGGGGAUAACAUUUGGAAACAGAUGCUAAUACCGCAUAACCACAGAAACCACAUGGUUUCUGUGUCAAAGAUGGUUUCGGCUAUCACUUUGGGAUGGACCCGCGGCGUAUUAGCUAGUUGGUAAGGUAAUGGCUUACCAAGGCAAUGAGAGGUAGAGGAACUGAGAGGUUGAGCGGCAACAUUGGGACUGAGACACGGCCAAAACUCCUACGGGAGGCAGCAGUAGGGAAUCUUCCACAAUGGACGAAAGUCUGAUGGAGCAACGCCGCGUGAGUGAAGAAGGUUUUCGGAUCGUAAAACUCUGUUGUCAGAGAAGAACGUGUGCGAGAGUAACUGUUCGUGCAGUGACGGUAUCUGGCCAGAAAGCCACGGCUAACUACGUGCCAGCAGCCGCCGUAA